rnacentral:rRNA from 1 species
CAGUUAUUGGGUAUCAAAACCUAAUAGCGAAAUUAACAUAACUUUUAUGGGAUUAGUUUUUAGAUUAUUUAUAGUCUAUUAAUUCAAUCCCGGGGCGUUCUAUAUAGUUAUGUAUAAUAAUAUUUAUAUUAUUUAUACCUCUAACUAGAGCGUACCUUGAGCAUAUAUGCUGUGACCCGAAAGAUGGUGAACUAUACUUGAUCAGGUUGAAGUCAGGGGAAACCCUGAUGGAAGACCGAAACAGUUCUGACGUGCAAAUCGAUUGUCAGAAUUGAGUAUAGGGGCGAAAGACCAAUCGAACCAUCUAGUAGCUGGUUCCCUCCGAAGUUUCCCUCAGGAUAGCUGGUGCAUUUAAAUAUUAUGUAAAAUAAUCUUAUCUGGUAAAGCGAAUGAUUAGAGGCCUUAGGGUCGAAACGACCUUAACCUAUUCUCAAACUUUAAAUGGGUAAGAACCUCACCUUUCUUGGUAUGAAGGUUGUGGUUGUGAUAUAAUGUGCCCAGUGGGCCACUUUUGGUAAGCAGAACUGGCGCUGUGGGAUGAACCAAACGUAAUGUUACGGUGCCCAAAUUAACAACUCAUGCAGAUACCAUGAAAGGCGUUGGUUGCUUAAAACAGCAGACGGUGGACAUGGAAGUCGUA